rnacentral:rRNA from 1 species
UACGUAGGGGGCGAGCGUUGUCCGGAUUUAUUGGGCGUAAAGAGCGUGUAGGCGGCCAGGUAGGUCUGCUGUGAAAACUCGAGGCUCAACCUCGAGACGUCGGCGGAAACCAUCUGGCUAGAGUCCGGAAGAGGAGAGUGGAAUUCCUGGUGUAGCGGUGAAAUGCGCAGAUAUCAGGAAGAACACCCGUGGCGAAGGCGGCUCUCUGGAACGCAACUGACGCUGAGACGCGAAAGCGUGGGGAGCGAACAGG